rnacentral:tRNA from 1 species
UUUUAUGUAGUUUAAUUAAAACAUUACAUUUUCACUGUAAAAAUAUUAUUUUAUUUAAUCAUAAAUU